AGUUAAGAUUGUUUUUACUAAGAAUAGUUCAAAAUUUCUUGGGUUUUUUCCAUGCUUGUCCAUCAAUCUAUCUAUGUGUAUAUACUAACAAGAUAAGUUUGGUCUUAUUCAUUGUUUCGCAUAAUGUGCAAGUGAAUGGAAUAUUGGAUGCAAAUGCUCAAGGAGGAAAGUUUAGUUACAAUUUUGGCUAUCAAGACUUUUCAAUUUGUUGGACUAUUGUUUAAUGUGCUCUUGUCACUUAUCUAACUUGUGAAAAUU
rnacentral:misc_RNA from 1 species